GUUUCUACAGUGUAUUGAGCACUCUCCCUUUUCGAGGGAGAAGAAGUGAAACA
rnacentral:tRNA from 1 species